CAGACAGGACCUGGGCCCUUUUGAAUACAUUAAAAACACACCCUUUACUCCUCCCUUCCUUGAAGUAAUCACUGAUCUAACACAAAUGAAUAACUUUAAGAAAUUGCCUUCACCCAGCUAUGUCAGAUUAGGAAUUUUAUCUUCAAGGGAGAGAGGAAGGAAGAAUGCAUUCUUAAAGAAUUCGAACAGGACAUGUACUGGCAUAACAAAGAGCUUCCGGGGCAAGAGGUCACUGGACAUUUCUCUCAGCCCAUCCUGACCUUUCGAUAAACUUUGUGUCACAAAUUCCAAAUGCUGCUUCCAGUCCGUAUGAGGAGAGGUUAAGAGAGACUUGAUGAGAGAGAGUAAAUGGAGGGCCGCCAAUAAUCAUCUCAUUCUAUAGAACAUCUCUGCUAUGUUCCAUACAAUGGGUUCCAUGCUGUGAUUACAAAGAAAACAGCUGUUUUAUGACUGAGACAUCUGCUGAAGCUUUUCAUCUCACGUGGUUUGGGGUCAAUUCCAUUUGACUGUAAUCAAUUCAGGAAGUACCAUGAAAUUCCAAGUAUUAUCAGAAUAGGAAUUGGAAUUUAAGUGUACUUCCUGAUUUGACCCCAACCCUGUUGACUACAUAUAUCUUCUAACUCUAUCUGACCUGUCCAUUGCAGGUUUACCCGUAUGAAGAGCUGAUUGUGACCACCAGGGGGCGACACAGAGUGCCUAAAGAUGUGGACAGAGCCAGACUAGAGCGUCAUCUGAGUCCCGAGGAGUUCCUACAGGUGUUUGGGAUGACCGUGGCAGAGUUUGACCGGCUGGCUCUCUGGAAGAGGAAUGAAAUGAAGAAACAGGCCCGACUCUUCUAACCAUGGAGAGAGAGAGACAAUUAGAGGAAAUUGAGAAAGAGAAACUGUUCUAAUUAAAUAAAGAUUGUUAAUGACAAUAGAGAUAGAGACAGACUGUUAAUGACAACAGAGAUAGAGAGAAGGAGACAGACUGUUAAUGACAACAGAGAUAGAUAGAGAGAGACAGACUGUUAAUGACAACAGAGAUAGAUAGAGAGAGACAGACUGUUAAUGACAACAGAGAUAGAUAGAGAGAAACAGACUGUUAAUGACAACAGAAGAGAGAGAGAGAGAGACAGACUGUUAAUGACAACAGAGAUAGAUAGAUAGAGAGAGACAGACUGUUAAUGACAACAGAGAUAGAUAGAGAGAGACAGACUGUUAAUGACAACAGAGAUAGAUAGAGAGAGACAGACUGUUAAUGACAACAGAGAUAGAUAGAGAGAGACAGACUGUUAAUGACAACAGAGAUAGAUAGAGAGAGACAGACUGUUAAUGACAACAGAGAUAGAUAGAGAGAGACAGACUGUUAAUGACAACAGAAGAGAGAGAGAGAGAGAGAGAGAGAGAGAGAGAGAGAGAGAGAGAGAGAGAGAGAGACUGAAUGAAAUCAGAGAGAGAGAGAGAGAGAGAGGGGCGAGACUUAAUGAAAACAGAGAGAGAAAGCGAGAGAGCGAGAGAGAGACUGUUAAUGACAACAGAGAUAGAUAGAGAGAGACAGACUGUUAAUGACAACAGAGAUAGAUAGAGAGAGACAGACUGUUAAUGAAAACAGAGAUAGAGAGAGAGAGAGAGUUAGAGAGAGAGAGACUGUGAAUGAAAUCAGAGAGAGGGAGAGACUUAAUGAAAACAGAGAGAGAAAGCGAGAGAGCGAGAGAGAGACUGUUAAUGAAAACAGAGAUAGAGAGAGAGAAAGAGAGAGAGAGACUGUGAAUGAAAUCAGAGAGAGAGAGAGGG